GAGCUUCCAGUAAUUGUAAUUCGCCAAAAUGACGAACACAAAGGGAAAGAGGAGAGGCACCCGAUAUAUGUUCUCUAGGCCUUUUAGAAAACAUGGAGUUGUUCCUUUGGCCACGUAUGUGCGAAUCUAUACGAAAGGUGAUAUUGUAGACAUCAAGGGAAUGGGUACUGUUCAAAAAGGAAUGCCCCACAAGUGUUACCAUGG